AGUGAACGCUGGCGGUAGGCCUAACACAUGCAAGUCGAACGGCAGCACAGUAAGAGCUUGCUCUUACGGGUGGCGAGUGGCGGACGGGUGAGGAAUACAUCGGAAUCUACUUUUUCGUGGGGGAUAACGUAGGGAAACUUACGCUAAUACCGCAUACGACCUACGGGUGAAAGCAGGGGAUCUUCUGACCUUGCGCGAUUGAAUGAGCCGAUGUCGGAUUAGCUAGUUGGCGGGGUAAAGGCCCACCAAGGCGACGAUCCGUAGCUGGUCUGAGAGGAUGAUCCGCCACACGGGAACUGAGACACGGUCCAGACUCCUACGGGAGGCCGCAGUGGGGAAUAUUGGACGAUGGGCGCAAGCCUGAUCCAGCCAUACCGCGUGGGUGAAGAAGGCCUUCGGGUUGUAAAGCCCUUUUGUUGGGAAAGAAAAGCAGCAGGUUAAUACCCCGCUGUUCUGACGGUACCCAAAGAAUAAGCACCGGCUAACUUCGUG
rnacentral:rRNA from 1 species